rnacentral:rRNA from 1 species
CCGGCCGCGGGAAUUAGAUUCAGGCCUAUCACAUGCACAGUCGAGCGGUAGAGAGAAGCUUGGUUCUCUUGAGAUCGGCGAACGGGUGAGUAAUGCCUAGGAAUCUGCCUGGUAGUGGGGGAUAAGGUUCGGAAAAAAACGGUAAUUCCGCAUCCUUCCUACGGGAGAAAGCAGGGGACCUUUGGGGCUUGCGUUAUCAGAUGAGCAUAGGUCGGAUUAGCUAGUUGUUGAGGUAAUGGAUCACCAAGGUGCCGAUCCGUACUCUGGUAUGAGAGGAUGAUCAGUCACACUGGAUUUUGAGACACGGUCCAGACUCUUCCGGGAGGCAGCAGUGGGGAAUAUUGGACAAUGGGCGAAAGCCUGAUCCACUCAAGGCGUGUGUGUGAAGAAGGUCUUCGGA